GUGUGGCUUGGUGGUAGAGCAUUUGCCUAGCGUGUAUGAGACCCUGGGUUCAAUUCCCAGUAC
rnacentral:tRNA from 1 species